AAUGGGCGAAAGCCUGAUCCAGCAAUGCCGCGUGAGUGAUGAAGGCCUUAGGGUUGUAAAGCUCUUUUACCAGGGAUGAUAAUGACAGUACCUGGAGAAUAAGCUCCGGCUAACUCCGUGCCAGCAGCCGCGGUAAUACGGAGGGAGCUAGCGUUGUUCGGAAUUACUGGGCGUAAAGCGUACGUAGGCGGUUAUUCAAGUCAGGGGUGAAAGCCUGGAGCUCAACUCCAGAACUGCCCUUGAAACUAGAUAACUAGAAUCUUGGAGAGGUGAGUGGAAUUCCGAGUGUAGAGGUGAAAUUCGUAGAUAUUCGGAAGAACACCAGUGGCGAAGGCGACUCACUGGACAAGUAUUGACGCUGAGGUACGAAAGCGUGGGGAGCAAACAGGAUUAGAUACCCUGGUAGUCCACGCCGUAAACGAUGAUAACUAGCUGUUCGGGCUCUACGAGCUUGAGUGGCGCAGCUAACGCAUUAAGUAUCCGCCUGGGGAGAACCGUCG
rnacentral:rRNA from 1 species